GCGCUUAUCGCUUGAAGGUCGUAUGUGACUGCAGAAAAGGAGAUGAAAGGCAGAAGAAAACACAAAAGAUGGAAGGAUUACUAUUGAGGCUCACAAGACAACUGUCCAUGACAAAAUACUUGCCUUGAGGACAUACUGCAAGUCUGUGCUGAUUGCAGUAAGACAAGAUUGCAGACACUUCCUCAGUUGUCUUGGGUUUAAGAAGAACAGAAGACGCUCCCCGCACAGUCUCCAGCCAGUCUGUGUUGUGACUUUCUAGCUCUGAUUCAUUUUUUAUAAUUCGGUGUGGACCCAAGAGUUCAGUAAAAAAUUUGAUGUUUUG